rnacentral:rRNA from 1 species
GACGAACGCUGGCGGCGUGCCUAAUACAUGCAAGUCGAGCGAACAGACGAGGAACUUGUGCCGCCGACGUGAGCAGCGGACGGGUGAGUAACGCGUGGAUAAUCUACCUAUAAGAGGGGGAUAACUUCGGGAAACGGGUGCUAAUACCGGAUAAUAUCUUGAACCACAGGGUUCAAUAGUGAAAGACGGUUUUGGUGUAACUAAUAGAGGGAUCCCGGCCGCUUUAGCUGGUUGGUAAGUUAACGGUUUACCAAGGCAACGAUGCGUAGCCGACCUGAGAGGGUGAUCGGCCACAUUGGAACUGAGACAGGGUCCAGACUCCUACGGGAGGACGCAGUAGGGAAUCUUCCGCAAUGGGCGAAAGCCUGACGGAGCAACGCCGCGUGAGUGAUGAAGGUCUACGGAUCGUAAAACUCUGUUAUUAGGGAAGAACUAAUGUGUAAGUAAAUAUGCACGUAUUGACGGUACCUAAUCAGAAAGCCACGGCUAACUACGUG